rnacentral:rRNA from 1 species
GAUUAUGGCUCAGAACGAACGCUGGCGGCGCGUCUUAAGCAUGCAAGUCGGACGGCAGGGGUUGUGCUUGCACAACUCCUAGAGUGGCGGACUGGUGAGUAACGCGUGGGUGACCUGCCCUCGAGAUGGGGAUAGCCAUUAGAAAUAGUGGAUAAUACCGAAUACGCUCAUGACCCUGUGGGGAUAUGAGGAAAACAGGCUACGGCCUGGCUCGAGGAUGGGCCCGCGUCCCAUUAGCUAGUUGGUGAGGUAACGGCCCACCAAGGCGACGAUGGGUAUCCGGCCUGAGAGGGUGUACGGACACAUUGGGACUGAGACACGGCCCAAACUCCUACGGGAGGCAGCAGUAGGGAAUCUUCCGCAAUGGACGAAAGUCUGACGGAGCAACGCCGCGUGAGUGAAAGAAGGUUUUCGGAUCGUAAAACUCUGUUGUCAGAGAAGAACAAGUUGGAGAGUAACUGCUCCAGCCUUGACGGUAUCUGACCAGAAAGCCACGGCUAACUACGUGCCAGCCGCGGC